rnacentral:rRNA from 1 species
AUUGAACGCUGGCGGCAGGCCUAACACAUGCAAGUCGAGCGGAUGAAGGGAGCUUGCUCCUGGAUUCAGCGGCGGACGGGUGAGUAAUGCCUAGGAAUCUGCCUGGUAGUGGGGGAUAACGUCCGGAAACGGGCGCUAAUACCGCAUACGUCCUGAGGGAGAAAGUGGGGGAUCUUCGGACCUCACGCUAUCAGAUGAGCCUAGGUCGGAUUAGCUAGUUGGUGGGGUAAAGGCCUACCAAGGCGACGAUCCGUAACUGGUGUGAGAGGAUGAUCAGUCACACUGGAACUGAGACACGGUCCAGACUCCUACGGGAGGCAGCAGUGGGGAAUAUUGGACAAUGGGCGAAAGCCUGAUCCAGCCAUGCCGCGUGUGUGAAGAAGGUCUUCGGAUUGUAAAGCACUUUAAGUUGGGAGGAAGGGCAGUAAGUUAAUACCUUGCUGUUUUGACGUUACCAACAGAAUAAGCACCGGCUAACUUCGUG